ACCCUCUCAGAGUCACACCUGGAGAAUUCCCCGUACUCUACCAGUCUCGAAUUUGGGAGGGAAAGUCAAGCAGAGACAUAUCCAUUCCACUUCUAGCUUGGGCAGUGGCUAGUGAGUGAAAGGCAAUCUGCUACAAGU